UAGGAGAAAUAUUUAGGUCUGAUUGCUGGAAAGUCUAAAUUCCCUCUAACUUUAUACAGCUUCUGACUUCUAUUAUUAUUUGUAGAGGUGCUUGCAAGUCUAACACAUAACAGGAGUCAUUCGGACUGUUGGUGCUUGAAAUGUAACAGCUUGAAAACAAAUUUCAAGUUUUACUGUCAAAUAAACCAAUAAAAGAAGUUUAUGGUUGAUUUCUCGCAAGUUUACGAGAAUCUUAAGUGUUCAUGAUAUUAUACACUCUGGGCCUGCAAAAAAAAAAAAGGCAAAAGCAUACGGAUAUGCUUAAUUUUAAAUUGUAGUAAUAGAAGGUGGAAAGAGGUAGAGGUGUGUGUUGUACGAGAAAUAUUAAUGAAGAUAACAAAUCAAACAACUUGAUGUGUAGUUUUCCUUUUUUUAGUCCAGUCUCCAGUCCCUUGAUAGAAACUUAUUAACGUGGUACUUGAUAGUCCUUUCCUCUUGACCUGAAUACAGAGUAAAUUCAACAAUUUGAGCUGGAUGUCCUGUAUUAGAACCAUGAGUUUCUUAGAAAUUUCCUAACUAAUUAGAGUUUUUUUGACGUAAUAAUUAUACGUGAUUAAGUUGGGGCCAUUGUGGAAAACCUCCAUCAACAUCAUAGACUGAUAGUCGUCUUCAAUGUUUUAUAUAGGCAGAGAUUUGGAGACUUUAACCUCCAUUAUCAGCAGCGUUCCAUGUGCUUAUGGCUUUGCAGACGUGAUCUUGUUAUUCAUCUGGAAUUGACUAUCAACAGGUACCACUUUUUUUUAACUCAUUGUCAAUGCGUUGUGCAAGAGGAGCCCACUUUAUUGAUGGAAGUUGGAAAAACCAAAAUAAAAAGAUGGUUUUUUUUGAAAGUGAUCAUUCGGUUGAGUAUUGUUGGGUAUACUGCAGAUUCUGUUGAAGGUUAGAUUUAUGUUCACUCACCUUAUUUUAGAUCAAAUUAGAUCAGAUCAAAUCAGAUCUGAUCAAAUUAGCUUGUAACAAGAUUUGAACUUGUGAUCUCUUGCUACUACAUAAUUACCAUCUCAACUAACUUCUAGUCAUGCUUUAAGGGUCCACAUUAUUAUAUUUGUACUUUUUAGAUGUUGAA